CAGAAUAUGUGAUGAUCUCACCAUAACUUGAACUCUCUUACUGAUCACUUGAUGACUGUAAGGAUCUGAUAUUCUG